CUACAAGUCCCCAGAAUUAGGAGAGAGAAAAGCAGCUUCUGCAUUGCUGACGGCUCAGAAAUAUCACAAGGCAAGCAAGUAGAAAACCUAAAAUUUUCUCUCCCUCUUAAGAAGAAUGAUGUGUUUCACCUGCAUCAUUUAAACUGAAGAUAUGGAUGAGGUUUUCUCCUUUGGAUGAGAUUAAAGGUGGAGAUUUUUGACCGAACCAGACCAGCUAUGGCCUUUAUAUGGUGGUUGUUGUGUCCUCUUCAACAUUAAGUCAGCUCUAGCAUUAUUGUGACAGCCAGGAUGUCAGUUCAGGACCUUUGGAGAAGUCGGGGUCAUGGUAAACAAUCAUGCCAGCACACAAGUGGGUUUUAGCGUGCCCCUUUCAUUCACGUCCAGAGAAAAGUGCCCCUCCCCUCAGCACACAGCUUCAAUUCCUCCGGCUUCCCGAGGGAAAAUACUGCCUUUCUCUAAAUAAACCCACUAUAUAUCUCUCUCUUUCACCCUCUCUCUCUCAUACAAACAUACACACACUCCAGUAGGAGUGCAAAGCUUUGCAGGAUGUGACCUCGGCUCUCCUUUAGGUAAACCGGCACUCCUGGCUAUGCGCAAGACCUGUGACUUCUUUUCUCAGCUUGAUCCUACUGGGAGAAGGCAGGAGAUGCAUAUGUAAUCCUGAUGUGUGCGUAUGUGUGAAAAAGAAAGAGUGAGGGAGUACUUUUUUUUUCUUGGACCUUAUUUAUUAAAUGCUGAUUUUACUAUGUAAAGGAGCAAAGUGCAUAUAGCUGAAGCUCUUUUUCUUUUUUAAUAUGUAUUAACAGAAUGUUAUGUAUUAUGUAUGUAUAAUGUAUUAACAGCUGGAGCAAGGGCUACAUAUGAUUCAAGCUGGGUUAUAAACAAUAAUAACUAAUUUAUGAUAUGUAUGUAUCAACAGCCUCUUUUAUCAUGCUUACAUCAUGUGGAACCAGGAUAAAGGAAGACUUUAUUUUGUGAAGAAGUGAAUAUUAUAAUCACAAUAUACAUUCAGUGUAUGAUGAAUUAUGUUGAAUUAAUAUAAAAUAAUAUAAUAUAUACAAAUUUUAUACAAUAUAUCAGUUGUGACUAUGAUAAUAAAGUAAAAACAAACAGUGCUUCUGUGAAUGCAAAAAUGUUUAUUGUUAGUUCGGUAUGAACAAAUUACCAUCAUAUCUUACUUUAUUGAAGAAAAAAUGGAAACAAUGCACUGAAAUAUUGCUCAUGCAUUAUUUUCAAUUUAUAGAGAGAGAGAGAGAGAGAGAGGAAACAUAAAUAUAUUCUACUAUUAAUUAUGGGUACAGCAGAUAAUUUCAAUUUAAUGUUUUUGUAUUAGGUUUAUUUAUUUUUAUUUAGCCUAUUUUUUAUUUAAUCAAUAAAUAUACCAUAUUUAAUCGCAAGCUUUAAAUAGAUAUUUAAAAAGGCUAAGAAAAGAAGUUAACAUUCAAUUUUUGUUGCAUAGGAAUAAAAACAUAAUUGGACUGCAAUUAAUAAACAUUGUAAAAUGUAAAAUGCAUUAAAAAUACAAUUCAUGGUAUUAAAUGAAGAUUUUAUGUCGAUGGGGGUCAAUGUUUAUUUAAUAUGGAUUUUUUUUUUUUAAAUACGAAUAUUGAAUGACGUGAACAAGAGUUGAAUUCUAGCAUUUAUUCAGACAUGUUAUUUUGACUCCAGCUGACAUGCAAAUAUUGUGCUAAUACGAGAUGUUUUAUUUACCUCAGGUUUGUUUAUAUCAGCUUUGUUUACCUGUUCUGCUUUUAAUGACACUAAAGAAAAACCAUUAGGUCAGUACUGGACUUUAGGAGUCAUCUCUUAAACCAACAAAUCUUAAUGCGUUCAUACAUAGUAGCCUAUAGUUGUCAGUUGUAAGAAUUUUAAUUGUGACAUUUACUAUCCUCAGUAAGACUUUGAGAAGCGGAUGGAACACAGACAAACAAGGGUCAGUCAAUUACCAUUUUUUUGUCAUAAGGUAUACAAAAUACCACAAUGCCUUAAAAAUAUUUUAUUGUUAUAAUUAAAGAUGAUUUAUUAAACCAUA
ensembl:lncRNA